rnacentral:rRNA from 1 species
UACGGAGGGUGCGAGCGUUGUCCGGAAUCACUGGGCGUAAAGGGCGCGUAGGUGGCCCGAUGAGUCAACGGUGAAAGCUCGAUGCUCAACAUCGAGUCGGCCGUCGAUACUGUCGGGCUGGAGCACUGUAGAGGCUCAUGGAAUUCCGGGUGUAGCGGUGGAAUGCGUAGAGAUCCGGAAGAACACCGGUGGCGAAGGCGGUGAGCUGGGCAGUAGCUGACACUGAGGCGCGACAGCGUGGGUAGCAAACAGG